UGCUGCUUUCAAAAAUUCCUCUUUUUGAAUAUUAUGUGCCUAAAUGUUGAUCUCUUUUUAUUCCGUUUGCUCACUGUCUUUUUUUGUUUGUUUGUUUGUUUGUUUCCUGAGACAGAGUCUUGCUCUGUCACCCAGGCUGGAGUGCAGUGGCAUGAUCUUGGCUCACUGCAACCUCCACUUCUUGGGUUCAAGUGAUUCUCCCACCUCAAUCUCCCAAGUAGCUGGGACUAUGGGCGUGUGCCACCAUGCCUGGCUAAUUUUUGUAUUUUUAGUAGAGACAGGGUUUUGCCAUGUUAGCCAGGCUGGUCUUGAACUCCUGACCUCAGGUGAUCCACCUACCUUGGCCUCUCAAAGUGCUGGGAUUACAGAUGUGAGCCACCGUGCUUGGCCACUCCCUGUUGUCUUCUGCAGUAUAGAGUUCUGAAAUUCCAAUUAUACAUACAUUGGUAUGCUUGAUGGUGCUACACAGGUCUCUGAGGCUUUCUUCAUUUUGCUUCUUUUUUUCUUUUAGUUCUUCAGAUUUUCAGGUUUUAAGAAUUCCUUCUGGUCGGGCAUGGUGGCUCACCCAGUUUUAUUUAAAUUUUAAAAGUAUUUUAUUUUUAAUGUCUGUAGCAUUUUAAAUUAUAUGUAAUAAAUGAAAUAAAUGAAAUACAUUUAAUUAAAUAAUAAAUAAAUAAAUAGAGACAAAGAGAAAGGGUCACUCUGCCAGCCAUGCUGAAGUGCAGAGGCACCAUUAUAGCUCACUGCAGCCUUGACCACCUGG
rnacentral:lncRNA from 1 species